rnacentral:tRNA from 1 species
GUUUGAAUAGUUUAUUUAAAAAUAUUGAUUUGUGGUGUCAAAGAUAUACAAAGUAUUUCAAAUA